ensembl:lncRNA
AUGAACAACUGCUAUAUGCAACCAUUGCAGUCAGUGCUGAGGAGCAGCAAGAAGAAUUACAGCCCUGUGCCUCCUGCCUCUAUCAGCGGCUGGUUUGGAAGGAAGGGAGGCAGAACAGGCUGGACACCAAGCAGCCACUGUACUCCCCUGCCCUCCAUCCCUGGAGGGAAUGACAGCCUUGCCUUUAGUAUCUAUAAUCUUCCAUUUCGAACGAUGUGCAAAUAUUGCACUGCUGGAAGCGAAGAGCAGCUGAGGGUGGUUGGGGGAUCAGCUCCACAGGCUCGACAGGCUGUCGGGAAGCACAGCGACUCCGUCUGUGGGCAUCGGCCAAGAGGGUGUCCAGCUGAGCCAUCCUUUGCCCGGGGGCUUCCCUGUAACUCCAGGAACGUGGCCGGAACCGCUCUCCGUGCCGCAAACCUGCCCCACAGGCAUCCCCCGGCCCGGGCUGCUCUGCCAAGGCUUUGUCAACCAGAAGCUCACCAGGCCCAGAGAACAACAACCUCGACCAUCAGUGCCCAGAAAGCAACAAGAAGCCUUUGGGGCAGUCCACAAUAUUAUAUGAUUACUCGGAGGAGGAGCUCAUGGCAAGCAUCGAGCAGGAGUACUGCCGCUGAAUCCAGUUCCCCACCACGAGAAUGUCAGGCUUGA